rnacentral:rRNA from 1 species
GACGAACCGUGCGAACGUUGUUCGGAAUCACUGGGCUUAAAGGGCGCGUAGGCGGCUCGCGAGGUCGGGGGUGAAAUCCCACAGCUUAACUGUGGAAGUGCCUUCGAUACCGGCGGGCUCGAGGAAGGUAGGGGUGCGCGGAACUUCUGGUGGAGCGGUGAAAUGCGUUGAUAUCAGAAGGAACGCCGGCGGCGAAAGCGGCGCACUGGACCUUUUCUGACGCUGAGGCGCGAAAGCCAGGGGAGCAAACGGG